rnacentral:lncRNA from 1 species
AGAUCACUUGAGCCCAGGAGUUUGAGACCAGGCUGGGCAACACAUUGAGACCCCAUCUCUGCAAAACAUUUUUUUAAAAAAUUAGCUGGACAUUGUGGCUCAUGCCAGUAGUCCUAGCUACUUGGGAGGCUGAGGCAGGAGGAUCACUGGAGCCCGGGAGGUUGAGGCUGCAGUGAGCUAUGAUCAAGUCACUGCAUUCCAGCUUGGGUGACAGAAGGAGACCCCAUGUCUAAAGAAAAACAAAGAAGGAAAAAAAAUACACAAUUUAAGUUCAAUCACAGUGUGUUAGAGGGAAAAACAAUCUGUGUGGUAGGAAAGUGGGUGACUGGGCAGGAAAGUGCAAUGAAGGUGGGAGAGAGGAGGGCAGAAGAAACCUGUCUCAGGUGAGGGCCUUGGAGCUAAAGCCUUAGCUAUGAAGAAGAUCUGAGGGGACGAGCUCCAGGCAGAGGGAGCGAGGAGCUAUGCAAAGGCCCUGCGGAGAGAUUCACUGGGAGAACUUAAAGGGCAGAGAGCAGGCCAACGUUGAUGGAGAGAUGAGCGGGGACGUCUAUCGGCCACAGUGAGGAAACAGGACUCUGUUCUAAGGCAGUGAUUCCAGUGGGGGCGAUUUUGCCCCUCAAAGGACAUUUGGCAAUGUUGGGAGACAUUUUUGGUUGCCACCCAUUUGGGGGCAGUUGCUCCUGGCAUCUAGUGGGAAGGGGCCAGGGAUGCUGCCUAUGUCCUGCAAAGCACAGGACAGCCCCUACCACAGAGAACUCAUCAGUCCCAGAUAUUGAUAGUGCUGAGGUUGAGAAACGCUGGUCUAAGAGUGGUGGGAGGCCAUCAGAGGGUCUGAAGCAAGGGAAGGAUGUCGUGUGUGUUAAAAAAGGAGAGUGCAGUGUGGGGAGGGAGAGUGGAGGUAAGGAGAUGGGGAAGAUGUUGCACUUGUCUCAGUGAGAGAUGCUUCUAGAUCCAGGAGGCAGACCUCAAGGAUGGAGAGAAGGCAGAUCCUUUGAGAUUGUUCCUAUUCAAGUAAGCUAUGGUCAAACCUGUUUUGGAAAUGUUGUACACUGUACCAAGAUAAGCAGUCUAGCGUGAAUCCCAGAGCAAGGCUAUUUAAGUUCAGAUCUUGGCUUUGCCUCUUGUUAGCUGUGUGAUCUUGGGCAGGAUUCUCAACCUCUCUGUGCCCCAGUUUUUCCAUUUCUAAAGUGGAAUAAUAGGGUCCAUCUCAGAGGGCUAAUGUGAGGAGUAAAUUAGUUAAUAUACAUAUAAAUAAGCUAAUAGAUGACUAGAACACUGCGAAUACUCAAUAAGCAUUAUCUGGUAUUAGUACAUACUCCUUUUGGGAGUAUCACUAGUUAUAUCCACAAAUUAAAGUCUCUGAGAAGACCUGUAUCAAAACUGUUGCUGGACUUGCUUAGCCUGCAUUCACUAAACUUAUAUUUUCAUGACA